AUUGAACGCUGGCGGCAGGCUUAACACAUGCAAGUCGAGCGAGCGGCGGACGGGUGAGUAAUGUCUGGGACACUGCCUGAUGGAGGGGGAUCACUACUGGAAACGGUAGCUAAUACCGCAUACCAUCAGAUGUGCCCAGAUGGGAUUCGCUAGUAGGUGGGGUAAUGGCUCACCUAGGCGACGAUCCCGAGCUGGGCUGAGAGGAUGACCAGCCACACUGGAACUGAGACACGGUCCAGACUCCUACGGGAGGCAGCAGUGGGGAAGAUUGCACAAUGGGCGCAAGCCUGAUACAGCCAUGCCGCGUGUGUGAAGAAGGCCUUCGGGUUGUAAAGCAAUUUCAGCGAGGAGGCGUUACUCGCAGAAGAAGCACCGGCUAACUCCGUGCCAGCCGCCGCGGUAAUUC
rnacentral:rRNA from 1 species